CACGAACCGUACGAACGUUAUUCGGAAUUACUGGGCUUAAAGGGUUUGUAGGCGGCCAUGUAAGUCAGGUGUGAAAUCCCUCGGCUCAACCGAGGAACGGCGCUUGAUACUGCAUGGCUUGAGGGAGACAGGGGUAAGCGGAACUGAUGGUGGAGCGGUGAAAUGCGUUGAUAUCAUCAGGAACACCGGUGGCGAAAGCGGCUUACUGGGUCUCUUCUGACGCUGAGGAACGAAAGCUAGGGUAGCGAACGGGG
rnacentral:rRNA from 1 species